UCGGCCGUGGUGUAAUUGGCAACACCCGGGUCUUUGGUACCCGUGUUUCAGGUUCGAACCCUGGCGGCCGAGCCG
rnacentral:tRNA from 4 species